CCAUGAUAGAGAGCUGAGGAGCAAGACAGCCUUCUCCCUCACUGUCUGCUGGAUGGAGGAGAUAUUUGUCAGGCAGGGAUAGGAGAGGGCAUGGAAAGGAGAGAUGCUCCUUACCUUUCUGAAUACAAACGGAUGGAGGGCUUUGGCUGGGUGUAUGGCAGCAGGAGGUGGUCAAGAGAGCAAGCAAGGCUGUCAUAACGGUAAGUGACCCACCCACCACUUAAUUGUCCAGUUGACGCCGCGGGAGUGAGUUGGGAAGGGCGAGGCACAGCAGGUGGACCUCAAACCUUGGGCUACAUAGGAGUAUCGUACAUAGACGAAUAUUAUUGAUGGUAUAUUAAUACUCUAUUCAAGAGGUUUAUAAUUUAUUUGCCUAAAUGAAGAAAUUUAUGGUGACUGCUGUUUACUGUUUUUUUUUUAUCAUUCUAUUCUUGAUAUUAAGUAUGUAUAGAUGUAUAUAUUUAUGUAUAUAUGUAAUAUCACACUGAUAAGACCCACACACGCAGAACACUGCUCCCAUACACCCAGACACACUCAAACCACACACACAAAAAAAAAAUAAUAAUAAUAACCCAAAACACCAUACAACACCUCAAAAUACCAACAAACGCCCAAAACUCAAUAGAAACACCCAGUAUUCACUAAAACAUCUCCCACACCACAAAAUACUAAAGACACUUCAGACACACUCAAACCUUUUCAAACACUAUCUCAAAACGCGUCAUAUAACGCCUGUGAAUGCCCCAAACAAUCAAAACACUCCUUAUACUCAAACACACUCCCACAACACUCAAAGUACGUGAAAUAUACUUAAGAUACACACUUAACACACACUGAAAACACCUCACACACACUCAAAAUACCCUAAACUCGCUGAAAAUACCAUGCAGCUACCGACUUAGACACCUUAGAUAUACAACCUGAAUGCAUUAUAAAGAACGGCAAGAUUACACGGGAGACUUGGCUAAUUAUUAUGGCCUGGUUCCUCCUCCUCUUUUUCCUGGAUAGAUUUCCAUCUCUUUCACUCUCAUAUGGAAAGGAAACGUAAAAGUAAGUGAAUGGCCUGAAAAAUACCUUAUAUAAAUGAAGGUUGGGCGCUGUGUAGGGACGUGGUGAAGGUAGUAAUGCUGUCUUGGCUUGCAUUGCUGGAAUAUGAAAACACUUCACUUUUGUCUAUGUAUGCAUGUAUAUAUGUGUGUGUUUGAAUGUAUUUAGCUUUUGAGUGUGUUUCCGAGUGUUUUGGAUACAUAUGAGUGUGUUUUCGAGGAUGUAUGGCUGUGUGUUGAUAUGUCCGGGUGUGGUAAGACUGUACAGCCCACCGCCACCGGCCCACCACCACCACCAGCACCACUGUCUGUGUCUGUGAUGGCAGUCUGUACGGUGGUACAAAUGUAUGUGAUAAAUGUCUAUUGCUUCUAUUAUUAAUGAAAUACUAUACUUAAACAUAUCUCACACAUCGGUUUGUUGGUUAUUUGUCUUUCUUCUCGUCAUUGUGUUCAGCUUUGGUUAUUUGGCGAAGCAGUAAAUAUUAAGUUGUUCUUAGUUUUAUAGCGAGUCUUUGCAUCUCCCGCUCGAAAAGAAAAAUAAAACGUAUCUUAAAAGGCAAA